rnacentral:rRNA from 1 species
UACAGAGGGUGCAAGCGUUAAUCGGAAUUACUGGGCGUAAAGCGCGCGUAGGUGGUUCGUUAAGUUGGAUGUGAAAUCCCCGGGCUCAACCUGGGAACUGCAUUCAAAACUGACGGGCUAGAGUAUGGUAGAGGGUGGUGGAAUUUCCUGUGUAGCGGUGAAAUGCGUAGAUAUAGGAAGGAACACCAGUGGCGAAGGCGACCACCUGGACUGAUACUGACACUGAGGUGCGAAAGCGUGGGGAGCAAACAGG